UAUAUUGUGCACACAUGCACAAGCAUGAUUUAGCGGCCGUGUGUGUUGCUGUUAUUUGAGGAAUAAAAUAAAUGAAAUGUUGGUGUGGGACAGGGUUUGGGUUAGAGUGAAGGAUUGUGAAGGAAUUAGCUAGAGAAGGAUGGGACAAGGAUGUCUGCAUGUCUUGAGGAGCUGUAGGUGGAGGCUAUAAGGAUGUCUGCAUGUCUUGAGGAGAUGUAGGUGGAGGCUAUAAGGAUGUCUGCAUGUCUUGAGGAGCUGUAGGUGGAGGCUAUAAGGAUGUCUGCAUGUCUUGAGGAGAUGUAGGUGGAGGCUAUAAGGAUGUCUGCAAGUCUUGAGGAGAUGUAGGUGGAGGCUAUAAGGAUGUCUGCAUGUCUUGAGGAGCUGUA
ensembl:lncRNA